GGGAAGGUUUUUAUUCAAGUGAUUCAAGAGGUUCGAAACAUAAAAUCUUUAAGGUAGUUUACUCUCGAAACAAGUAGCCUUGACAUUGCACAUAAUAUAUCUAAGAAAGGGACCAACUCAUGCAUACAAUGCUCAAUCUCCAUUGUCCUACCCUUUUCCCAAACAUACAAUUACACAAUCUUUCCCCAAUGUCAAGCUCAACUCACAUCUCUCACCAAAAGAUCUCAAGAACACCCUGCACACAAAACUCUUU
rnacentral:lncRNA from 1 species